GACGAACGCUGGCGGCGUGCUUAACACAUGCAAGUCGAACGAAGUGGCGAACGGGUGAGUAAUACGUGGGUAACCUGCCCUCCUUUUUGGGAUAAGCCUUGGAAACGGGGUCUAAUACCGAAAAAAGGGGGAUGGGCUCGCGGCCUAUCAGCUUGUUGGUGGGGUGAUGGCCUACCAAGGCGGUGACGGGGAGGCGGCCUGAGAGGGUGACCGGCCACAUUGGGACUGAGAUACGGCCCAGACUCCUACGGGAGGCAGCAGGGGGGGGUAUUGCACAAUGGGCGAAAGCCUGAUGCAGCGACGCCGCGUGUGUGAAGAAGGUCUUCGGAUUGUAAAGCACUUUAAGUUGGGAAGCGUUACCAACAGAAUAAGCACCGGCUAACUUCGUGCCAGCCGCCGCGGUAAUAC
rnacentral:rRNA from 1 species